UACGGGGGGGGCAAGCGUUGUUCGGAAUUACUGGGCGUAAAGGGCUUGUAGGUGGCUUGUUAAGUCAGACGUGAAAUCCCUCAGCUUAACUGGGGAACUGCGUCUGAUACUGGCGAGCUUGAGUGCAGGAGAGGAACGCGGAAUUCCAGGUGUAGCGGUGAAAUGCGUAGAUAUCUGGAGGAACACCGGUGGCGAAGGCGGCGUUCUGGACUGCAACUGACACUGAGAAACGAAAGCCAGGGUAGCAAACGGG
rnacentral:rRNA from 1 species